GGAGAGGUGUCCGAGCGGUUGAAGGAGCCAGUCUCGAAAACUGGUGUGGGCCUCGUGCUCACCGUGAGUUCGAAUCUCACCCUCUCCG
rnacentral:tRNA from 1 species